rnacentral:rRNA from 1 species
UGAGGAAUAUUGGUCAAUGGGCGUAAGCCUGAACCAGCCAAGUCGCGUGAGGGAUGAAGGUUCUAUGGAUCGUAAACCUCUUUUAUAAGGGAAUAAAGUGCGGGACGUGUCCUGUUUUGUAUGUACCCUAUGAAUAAGCAUCGGCUAACUCCGUGCCAGCAGCCGCGGUAAUACGGAGGAUGCGAGCGUUAUCCGGAUUUAUUGGGUUUAAAGGGUGCGUAGGUGGCAGCUUAAGUCAGCGGUGAAAGUUUGUGGCUCAACCAUAAAAUUGCCGUUGAAACUGGGGCGGCUUGAGUAUGUUUGAGGCAGGCGGAAUGCGUGGUGUAGCGGUGAAAUGCUUAGAUAUCACGCAGAACCCCCGAUUGCGAAGGCAGCCUGCCAAGCCAUGACUGACGCUGAUGCACGAAAGCGUGGGGAUCAAACAGGAUUAGAUACC